AUGAACGCUGGCGGCGUGCCUAAUACAUGCCAGUCGAGCGAACGGACGAGAAGCUUGCUUCUCUGAUGUUAGCGGCGGACGGGUGAGUAACACGUGGAUAACCUACCUAUAAGACUGGGAUAACUUCGGGAAACCGGAGCUAAUACCGGAUAAUAUUUUGAACCGCAUGGUUCAAAAGUAAAAGACGGUCUUGCUGUCACUUAUAGAUGGAUCCGCGCUGCAUUAGCUAGUUGGUAAGGUAACGGCUUACCAAGGCAACGAUGCAUAGCCGACCUGAGAGGGUGAUCGGCCACACUGGAACUGAGACACGGUCCAGACUCCUACGGGAGGCAGCAGUAGGGAAUCUUCCGCAAUGGGCGAAAGCCUGACGGAGCAACGCCGCGUGAGUGAUGAAGGUCUUCGGAUCGUAAAACUCUGUUAUUAGGGAAGAACAUAUGUGUAAGUAACUGUGCACAUCUUGACGGUACCUAAUCAGAAAGCCACGGCUAACUACGU
rnacentral:rRNA from 1 species